rnacentral:rRNA from 1 species
CUUGGUCAUUUAGAGGAAGUAAAAGUCGUAACAAGGUUUCCGUAGGUGAACCUGCGGAAGGAUCAUUAUUGAAAUAAACCUGAUGGGUUGUUGCUGGUUCUCUAGGGAGCAUGUGCACGCCUUGUCAUCUUUAUAUCUCCACCUGUGCGCUUUUUGUAGACCUUUCAGGUCUAUGUUGCUUCAUUUACCCCAAUGUAUGUUAAUAGAAUGUUGUGCCUAUAUAAUAUAUACAACUUUCAGCAACGGAUCUCUUGGCUCUCGCAUCGAUGAAGAACGCAGCGAAAUGCGAUAAGUAAUGUGAAUUGCAGAAUUCAGUGAAUCAUCGAAUCUUUGAACGCACCUUGCACCCUCUGGCAUUCCGGAGGGUAUGCCUGUUUGAGUGUCAUUAAUCUCUCAACACAAGAAACUUUGUCUCCUUGUGCUUGGAUAUUGAAGGUUUUGCUGGCGCAAACAACUGUCAGCUCCUUUUAAAUGUAUUAGCAGAGCAGUAUAGGACUGGCCUCGGUUUGAUAAGAAACUUUAUCUAUGCUGUCGCUGGGUUUUCCUCUUUGUGCUCAGCUUCAAAUUGUCUUCGGACUGUCUCUUGAGGCAACAAAAUCUCUAUUGAUCGACCUCAAAUCAGGUAGGACUACCCGCUGAACUUAAGCAUAUCAAUAAGCGGAGGA